UAUGGAAAAGACCUGACCUGACUCUAUGUUAAUUUGAGGCUGAGGAUGUGUCUGUGCUUUUUUUCACAAGAAGAAAAAAUAAAGCUGAAUGAGAUGAUUGCAUAUACAGCAGAUGAUGCCAGCCCUGAUGACAUCACAACCACUGAUGACUCCAUAGGAGAAGGGGAAAGAGGGUCCUGAACCUGUGAUCCUGACUUCCUCAUACCACCAUGCUGCAGGCAGAGAAAAGGUGUAUUGGAACCAAUGACCCUGACAACAGCUUGCUGCAGUCUGACAAGGGAAUGAAGAUCUUGGUGAAGACCAGUGAUUUCCAGCCUCUUGAUGGACUUGCUCUGCAAACUUCCAGAUCUAGUGAGUCCUGUUUGCCUUGGAGCCAGACCAGAAACACAGACUGAACAUUUGACUGUUUAUCUCUUUGGGACACAGAACUCAUUUUGCCGGUGACUGUUCACACCAGACCUGAGAGAAGCUCAUGACAACCGAUGCGCCAUAUUCUUCCCUGCCCCCACGGAGAGGCACGGUCGUGUGUCCCAGCCUGACUCAGAGUUGCUGUGUAGCUGAAGGUGACCUCGACCACCUUUCUGUUCCGGUCUCCUCCACCCCACGAGCAUGAGGAUUACAGGUGGGCAUCACUAUGCUUGUUCUAGGAUUUGCUUGGGUUAGAACCCAGGGCAUUGUGCUCUCUACUCUUGGGCCACUUCUUCAGCGCCUGGAAUUCCCAGCUCUGUUUUUUUCUCUCUUGUUGGAGUUAUGCUCUAUCUAUUUUGCUAACAUUUUAUGGUAUGAUUACUGGGUUCUUGUGAACAUUGAAGAAAGUUUCAGUAUUUUCCUUCUUUGUACAAUUUUGUUUCCUACAGUUUUAUUUUACUGUAAACUUGGCUGCUUUUCUGCCACUU